ensembl:lncRNA
CAAGUAAAUAAUACAUUUUCUGUAAUGUCUUUUACUGACAAUUUACCUUGAAAAGAGCUAAUGGGAAAACAGAACAAAAUGAUAUUAGCGCUUUGCAUUCUACAAAUGGAGUAAUGGCAUCCCAGCAAAGCCCUCUUUGCACGGAAGUAGAGGAGAUAUGCGAAAAGGUCUGUCUUGUUCCUAAAUGUUUUGUACACAAUCAAAGUGUCUCCAUGUUCCUCCACCAGCAGGUUUUGCACUAGGACAACUUCCUUGUUCCUCAACUGGACAGUUAUUCCCAGUGGACAUCUGUACAGAGAAUGGGUAGUAAAGUUUUAAGUUCCUCGGCGUACACAUCACGGACAAACUGAAUUGGUCCACCCACACAGACAGCAUUGUGAAGAAGGCGCCGCAGCGCCUCUUCAACCUCAGGAGGCUGAAGAAAUUCAGCUUGUCACCAAAAGCACUCACAAACUUCUACAGAUGCACAAUCGAGAGCAUCCUGUCAGGCUGUAUCACCGCCUGGUACGGAAACUGCUCCGCCCACAACCGUAAGGCUCUCCAGAAGGUAGUGAGGUCUGCACAAUGCAUCACCGGGGGCAAACUACCUGCCCUCCAGGACACCUACACCACCCGAUGUCACAGGAAGGCCAUAAAGAUCAUCAAGGACAACAACCACCCGAGCCACUGCCUAUUCACCCCGCUAUCAUCCAGAAGGCGAGGUCAGUACAGGUGCAUCAAAGCAGGGACCGAGAGAUUGAAAAACAGCUUCUAUCUCAAGGCCAUCAGACUGUUAAACAGCCACCACUAACAUUGAGUAGCUGCUGCCAACAUACUGACUCAACUUCAGCUCACUUUAAUAAUGGAAAUUGAUGUAAAAAAUGUAUCACUAGCCACUUUAAACAAUGCCACUUAAUAUAAUGUUUACAUACCCUACGUUACUCAUUUCAUAUUUAUAUGUAUAUACUGUACUCUAUAUCAUCUACUGCAUCUUGCCAUCUUUAUGGAAUACAUGUAUCAUUAGCCACUUUAAACUUUGACACUUAUGUUUACAUACCCU